rnacentral:rRNA from 1 species
AUUGAACGCUGGCGGCGUGCUUAACACAUGCAAGUCGAUCGGUAACAGGUGUAGCAAUACAUGCUGACGAGAGGCGGACGGGUGAGUAAUGCUUGGGAAUCUGCCUAUUAGUGGGGGACAACCCGGGGAAACUCGGGCUAAUACCGCAUACGCUCUACGGAGGAAAGCCGGGGACCGCAAGGCCUGGCGCUAAUAGAUGAGCCCAAGUCGGAUUAGCUAGUUGGUAGGGUAACGGCCUACCAAGGCGACAAUCCGUAGCUGGUCUGAGAGGACGACCAGCCACACCGGAACUGAGACACGGUCCGGACUCCUACGGGAGGCAGCAGUGGGGAAUAUUGGACAAUGAGGGCAACCCUGAUCCAGCGACGCCGCGUGGGUGAAGAAGGCCUGCGGGUUGUAAAGCCCUUUCGGUGGGGAAGAAAAGUCUCGACCUAAUACGUCGGGACCUUGACGUAACCACUAAAGAAGCACCGGCUAACUCUGUGCCAGCAGCCGCGGUAAU